UACAGAGGUCUCAAGCGUUGUUCGGAUUCAUUGGGCGUAAAGGGCGCGUAGGCGGCGGGGUCAGUCGGGUGUGAAAUCUUGGGGCUUAACCCCGAAACGGCACUCGAAACUGCCCGGCUGGAGGGCCGGAGAGGAGAUCGGAAUUCACGGUGUAGCAGUGAAAUGCGUAGAGAUCGUGAGGAAGACCCGUGGCGAAGGCGGAUCUCUGGACAGUUCCUGACACUGAGGCACGAAGGCCAGGGGAGCAAACGGG
rnacentral:rRNA from 1 species